CGCGUAGGCGGUUUGGUCAGUCUGAUGUGAAAGCCCCGGGCUCAACCUGGGAACUGCAUUUGAUACUGCUGAACUAGAGUGUGGUAGAGGGAAGUGGAAUUCCGGGUGUAGCGGUGAAAUGCGUAGAGAUCCGGAGGAACAUCAGUGGCGAAGGCGGCUUCCUGGACCAACACUGACGCUGAGGUGCGAAAGCGUGGGUAGCAAACA
rnacentral:rRNA from 1 species